AAANGCGACCCCAGGUCAGGCGGGGCUACCCGCUGAGUUUAAGCAUAUCAAUAA
rnacentral:rRNA from 1 species